rnacentral:rRNA from 1 species
UACGGAGGAUGCGAGCGUUAUCCGGAUUUAUUGGGUUUAAAGGGAGCGCAGACGGGUCGUUAAGUCAGCUGUGAAAGUUUGGGGCUCAACCUUAAAAUUGCAGUUGAUACUGGCGUCCUUGAGUGCGGUUGAGGUGUGCGGAAUUCGUGGUGUAGCGGUGAAAUGCUUAGAUAUCACGAAGAACUCCGAUUGCGAAGGCAGUACACUAAUCCGUAACUGACGUUCAUGCUCGAAAGUGUGGGUAUCAAACAGG